GGACUACCCGGGUAUCUAAUCCUGUUUGCUCCCCUAGCUUUCGUGCAUCAGCGUCAGUUGUGGUCCAGUGAGCCGCUUUCGCCACAGGUGUUCCUUCCGAUAUCUACGCAUUUCACCGCUACACCGGAAAUUCCACUCACCUCUCCCACACUCAAGCCCGGCAGUUUCCCUUGCAGACUAUGAGUUGAGCCCAUAGAUUUCACAAGAGACUUACCAAACCGCCUACGCACCCUUUACGCCCAAUAAUUCCGAACAACGCUCGCCCCCCUCGUAUUACCGCGGCUGCUGGCAC
rnacentral:rRNA from 1 species